CGGAGAGGGAGCCUGAGAAACAGCUACUACAUCUAAGGAAGGCAGCAGGCGCGCAAAUUGCCCAAUCCUUUAACUGGGAGGUAGUGACCAGAAAUAACAAUACUGGACGUUUUCUCGCCGGGGAAUGGAAAGGAAAACAAGUUAAAUCCCUUACCAAGAAACAUUUGAAGAGCAAGCCGGGGGCCACCCCCCGCGGAAUUACCACUUCCAAAAGGGAAUAUUAAAGUUGUGGCAGUUAAAAAGUUCGAAUCUGAAUUUCUGGCGUUCAUGCCUGCCCCGAUCCGCGUUCGGAUGGACUGACCCAGCGUGUCCUUAUUCCUU
rnacentral:rRNA from 1 species